GUAGGGAAUCCUCCACAAUGGACGAAAGUCUGAUGGAGCAACGCCGCGUGAGUGAAGAAGGUCUUCGGAUCGUAAAACUCUGUUGUUAGAGAAGAACGUGCAUGAUAGUAACUGAUCAUGUAAUGACGGUAUCUAACCAGAAAGCCACGGCUAACUACGUGCCAGCAGCCGCGGUAAUACGUAGGUGGCAAGCGUUGUCCGGAUUUAUUGGGCGUAAAGGGAACGCAGGCGGUUUUUUAAGUCUGAUGUGAAAGCCUUCGGCUUAACCGAAGAAUAGCAUUGGAAACUGGAAGACUUGAGUGCAGAAGAGGAGAGUGGAAUUCCAUGUGUAGCAGUGAAAUGCGUAGAUAUAUGGAGGAACACCAGUGGCGAAAGCGGCUCUCUGGUCUGUAACUGACGCUGAGGUUCGAAAGCGUGGGUAGCAAACAGGAUUAGAUACCCGGGUAGUCC
rnacentral:rRNA from 1 species